rnacentral:rRNA from 1 species
UACGGGGGGUGCGAGCGUUGUCCGGAAUCACUGGGCGUAAAGGGCGCGUAGGUGGCCUGAUAAGGGUGUGGUGAAAGUCCGGGGCUCAACCCCGGAUCGGCCGUGCCGACUGUUAGGCUAGAGUACUGUAGGGGCAGGCGGAAUUCCGGGUGUAGCGGUGGAAUGCGUAGAUAUCAGGAGGAACACCAAUAGCGAAGGCAGCUCGCUGGGACGUUACUGACACUAAGGCGCGAAAGCGUGGGGAGCGAACAGG